UUUUUUUCACAUUUUUUUGUCCAGCCGUUUUUGAGUUACGAAUUUUCAAAAACCCAAAACAGCAUCUUGAUCAAUUUUUUUUUUUUUUUUUCAAAAAAUUCUCAAAAACACUGUAUACGACCGUUGACGAACAUUUUUUGUUUUUAAAAAAAGCUGGCUGGUUUUUUUUUCCAAUUUCAUUUCAUUUUUCUUCAAUUUGUUUUUUUUUUUUGCCAUCGCAAACUUUUUUUCGAAACGUGAAUUAUUUUUAUUUUUUUUCAUUCGAAAGGUGAAACGAGAAAUGCUUUUUCGAAAUCCUACAUUUAAAAUAGUCAACGCAAAAGGCUAUUUUACAUUUCAAAUACAUUUUCCAAAUGAAAUCGAUAUCAAACGUUAUCCAGCGGUGCGGGUUGUUGUGUAUGUCUG
rnacentral:misc_RNA from 1 species